GCCCCCAGUCCCCUCAAUCAGUCUUUCUCACCUACUGCGGUUGGAGGAGAAGUGGACAUCAGAACAUGUGGACGAUUUCGCCAUAAGAUACCCAUUUAUUUUGACAAGAAUCUAAGAUCAAUCCUUGCUGUGCUGGAAAAUCGGGUAAUGUGAACUGCCAUUGUAGGACUGAUCACCGCUUCCAUUAAACCCCUGGAUCUUCAGAUCUGUAAUCUAGUUUGAGGUCAAAUUUAUGUACAUCUAAUGACUACGUAUGUACUCUACAGUUGCUAACCAGAUGCGUUUUGUCUGCGGUACUAUCGAGCUGGUUCAAAAUUGUACAAAAUGUUGCUUUUGGUUCAAAGUGUUCAAUAAAUGCAGUGAAUGGUGA